rnacentral:rRNA from 1 species
UACAGAGGGCGCAAGCGUUGUUCGGAUUCAUUGGGCGUAAAGGGUGCGUAGGUGGCGCGCUAAGUCAGGUGUGAAAUUUCGGAGCUUAACUCCGAAACUGCAUUUGAUACUGGCGUGCUUGAGGACUGGAGAGGAGACUGGAAUUCAUGGUGUAGCAGUGAAAUGCGUAGAGAUCAUGAGGAAGACCAGUGGCGAAGGCGGGUCUCUGGACAGUUCCUGACACUGAGGCACGAAGGCCAGGGGAGCAAACGGG